rnacentral:rRNA from 1 species
GACGAACGCUGGCGGCGUGCUUAACACAUGCAAGUCGAACGGAAAGGCCCUGCUUUUGUGGGGUGCUCGAGUGGCGAACGGGUGAGUAACACGUGCGUAACCUGCCCUUGACUUUGGGAUAACUUCAGGAAACUGGGGCUAAUACCGGAUAGGAGCUCCUGCUGCAUGGUGGGGGUUGGAAAGUUUCGGCGGUUGGGGAUGGACUCGCGGCUUAGCAGCUGGUUGGGGGGGGAGUGGCUUACCAAGGCGUUGACGGGUAGCCGGCCUGAGAGGGUGACCGGCGACAUUGGGACUGCGGUACGGACCAGUAGGCUACGGGAGGCAGCAGUGGGGAAUAUUGCGCAAUGGGGGGGAGCGUGAUGCAGCAACGUCGCGUGCGGGAUGCCGGCCUUCGGGUUGUGAACCGCUUUGGGCUGUGAUGAAGCGUGAGUGACGGUAACGGGUAAAGAAGCCCCGGCUAACUACGUG